rnacentral:rRNA from 1 species
UGAUUUCAGUAGCGGCUCCGGCUUGCAUACUGUCGUCAAACUUCUUCGCGGUACAUUAUGUCCCGUUAGUCCAAAAACCUCCCCAUUCUAUAUGGAAACUGGCUAUAACCAAAUGACCUAAAGCUAAAGUGCAGUUGGUCUGGUGCUUUGCACCGUGUGCCCUGUACAAAAACCUAAUGACUUACAACUUUCAGCGGUGGAUGUCUAGGUUCCCACAACGAUGAAGAACGCAGCGAAAUGCGAUACGUAAUGCGAAUUGCAAGACCUCGUGAAUCAUUAAGAUUUUGAACGCACAUUGCGCUUUCGGGAUUUUCCCGGUAGCAUGCUUGUCUGAGUGUCUGUGGAUCCCCCUCAGCACUAGAGUAUUCUAGUAGCUGGUUGCUUUGGCUUUGACCGUCCUUGUGGUGGUCUCUGCUUAAAUUCUACAUGACGUACGUGCAUAGAUCUAGAAAAGUCUUAGCUUGUCUGAAAGACGGCGUUGACAUUCUCAUCUAUCUCUGGUAGCUUGUCUCUGGAGUUCACUGAGUUUGUUACUAGCUGUUCGAACGAUUACUAAAACUGUAUCUAAGUCUAGCUUGCAGCUUGUCUGCUUGCUAUCCAAUUCCGGAUCUCAAAUCAAGCUAUAUGACCCGCCGA